rnacentral:hammerhead_ribozyme from 1 species
AUGCAGCUGAUGUGUCCAGAACAUAACGAAACGCUCGUCCUGAAU